UGGGAACAGCCAGGAUCCCCUCCGCACGGGAGAACAGCUCUAGACGCGCAGAGGGGCGGAGUCCAAACGGGUGCCAUCACCGACCUGUCUACAAGCAACAUUGUAACAUAUUUCUGAGCCCAUCACAUGGAUAAUGUGACCCUUCUCUUUUUGUCCUGCCCCAAGUGAAGAUUGUGACAUGUCACCAGGCCCUUUGUCUAGGCAAUAUGACUCUUCUCUCCUGUCUGGGCCCUGAUUACAAGGGGGAUUGUGACAAUCACUGGGCCCAUCAUGUAGAUAAUAAGAGUUUCUCUUCCUGCCUGGGCCUUUUCUACAGAAAAGAUUAAGACAUCACUGGGCCAAGCACCCACAUGAUGUCACUCGCCUGCCUGCAUUCUGCCUACAGUGGGUAUUGUGACAUAUCCCUGGCACAGAACCAAGGUAACGUGACUCACCUACCUGGUUCCUGCCCACUGAUGGGAUUGUGACAUAUACCUAGGUCCAGCUCACAGGCAUGAUGAUAACUGUCAUACGUGGACCCAGCCAAUAAGAGAUUUUUGCUCUUAGGCUUAUUACAACAGAGUCUCGCUCUGUCACUCAGGCUGGAGUGCAGUGGCAUGAUCUCAGCCCGCUGCAACCUUCGCCUUCCAGGUUCAAGCAGUUCUCCUGCCUCAGCUCUUGGACAAAACUUCAGCACUCCUGCUAGGGUGUGUCUGCCCUACUAAGACACUGUGCGCAGGUGGAGUUGAGGCUCUUAUGUAUGGAUCCUGUCCACUGUUGAGAUUGUGAAUUGCAUGUGUAGACUCAACUCACAGGAGGUGUUGACUCACAAACCUCCAGCUGGGACAUGUGCAGGAUUAGAAAUUUUAUUUCUGGAUCUUUCUUCAGAAGGCGUUGUAACAUCUCACUAAGCCCAGCACUCAGGCGAUGUGGCUUUCCUGCUAUGGCACUGCACACAAGAAGAAUGUUGACAUAUUCCUGGCCCAGAAUUCAGGUUGUAUUGUGCCAUAUACCUGGGACCAAAUUACAAGCACAAUGAUGAAUCUUUUACCUGGAGUCAAGACAUGGGCAGGAUGAUGGAACUUAUCACUGGACCUUUCCACAGUGUUAUUGUGACAUAUGCCUUUGCCCAACAUGUGGUGAUUUGACUCCCCAGACUGGGUCCAGUUCACAAAUAAAAUUGUGCCGUAUACUUGGCCAAGAACCUAA
rnacentral:lncRNA from 1 species